rnacentral:rRNA from 1 species
UAGGGAAUAUUGCAAAAUGGGCGAAAGCCCGAUGCAGCAACGCCGCGUGGGCGAUGAAGGCCUUCGGGUCGUAAAGCCCUUUUUGAGGGGAUGAGGAAGGACAGUACCCUCAGAAUAAGCCUCGGCUAACUACGUGCCAGCAGCGGCGGUAAAAAGUAGGAGGCGAGCGUUACCCGGAUUUACUGGGCGUAAAGCGCGUGCAGGCGGAUUGGAGAGUUGGAUGUGAAAGCUCCCGGCUUAACUGGGAGAGGUCGUUCAAUACUUCCAGUCUUGAGUGCAGUAGAGGGAAGUGGAAUUCCGGGUGUAGUGGUGAAAUGCGUAGAUAUCCGG